rnacentral:rRNA from 1 species
UACGUAGGGCGCAAGCGUUGUCCGGAAUUAUUGGGCGUAAAGAGCUCGUAGGCGGUUUGUCGCGUCUGCUGUGAAAUCCCGAGGCUCAACCUCGGGCUUGCAGUGGGUACGGGCAGACUAGAGUGCGGUAGGGGAGACUGGAAUUCCUGGUGAUAGCGGUGGAAUGCGCAGAUAUCAGGAGGAACACCGAUGGCGAAGGCAGGUCUCUGGGCCGCAACUGACGCUGGAGGAGCGAAAGCAUGGGGAGCGAACAGG